rnacentral:SRP_RNA from 1 species
CCUGGGUGGCACUGCUGUUUCCGGUAUCGGAGACCAAUGGGGGACGCUUGAGCCAGAGCUUGGGGCCUGUAGGUGGCGUAUGCCGGUCAGGUGUCUGUACUAAGUUCAGCAUCAAUAUGGUGACCUCCCAGCGAGCAGGAACUACCGGGUUGCCCAAGGAGAGUGAACUGACCAGCGUCAGAUGGAGCAGGUCAGAAUACCCAUGCUUACCAGUAGUGGAAUCACACCUAUGAAUAACCACUGUACUCCAGCCCGGGCAACAAGGGAUACUCCAUUCUUUU